GAUGAGGACAACGAUGAAUCGUUCGGUCGGGGCAGAUAACAACUAACGACAACUCUCUACCUUGCGCUGAGAGUCCUCCGAGUUGUCCAGCUCAAAUGAUGAGCGUGCAUUCAACGCUGGCUCUGCGAUUGGCCCACGCAUUCCUUGUGAUGUGCAUUAUACCGAAAGGUACCUUGGCUGUGUACCACGGCAAGCUUAUUGGCUCGAUCACAACCUACUAUCACAACUUCAGGGGCACUGUGUACGCCGCAACUGCUAAGAGCGUCGUCAUCACGGAUCUCAACUACGAUGGCGGGGGUCCCGCGGCCCAUUUUUGGGCGGGUUCCAACGUCGGACUGGACAAUUAUGGCGACCAGCUGCUUGACGAAGAAAUGAGCACCAAGGUAUUGAAGCCCUACAAGAAUGCCACGGUUUUCCUGAGGUUGCCCAGAAAGAUAACCGAAUACAAGUCUUUGGGCAUCUACUGCGAACUGUUCGGGGCUGACUUCGGCAACGUCCAGAUUCCGGUCGACUACGAGCUGCCCAAGGAGCAGAGCCUCGGCACGCUGACCGCCAAGCAGCACAACACAAUGGCUGCCGAAGUCAUCCUCAAGGACAGCGCCACGAUCCUGCUCAAGGGGUUUGAGUACAGCGCCGCCUGUCCAGGAUCUGCCUUUUUCGUGGCGGGCCUUACUGCCAGCACCCAACCAGAUCAACUGACUCGCCUAAUCAACGACAAUGGGAAUGACCUGGAGGAGGCGUACGAGCCGCGCAAGCGCUCUCGGCCAUUUGUUCCGUCACCUUACGUCGCACGACGAGCAAGCUGGGAAGGUACGACAAGAAGGACGUCACGGCCAGACUGCCCCUUGGUCGACACUGGAACGAGUUCAAGUGGUUUUCGGUGUAUUGCGUCGACGCCAAGCAGAGCUACGCUGAAAUCGCUAUCAACCAGGCGGUGGCCGAGAAGCUGCCACUGCACGAUCCCAAGACUGUCGUACCCAUGCCUUCGACUGAGUCAACGGACAAUGAAGGUGCGACCUUCGCUCCAUUCUCAGCACUGUGGGUGUUUACUCUGAUUUCGGUCUCAUUGGCGGCAGCUUUCGCCAUUCGGCGAUGCCUUGAAAGCGACAAUCGCAUCAAGAUAUGCUGAAACCGGCUGCUUCCUACUUUGAAGCAUCGCAGGCUUUCCGACGGGUGUCCUGCGCUCGCAGCUCUUCAUGUUCGGCAGCCAAAUGCUGGACCUGUCUUCUCGGCGCCAUAUGCGUGGCGUACGGAGCGCAAAGUAUACAAUGAUCUGUGGCUGCAAAUAAAGACCUAU